AGGAGAAACUCGAAAGUAAAAGCUAUGAAUAUGGCUAUGGAGUCUUUAGGCGUCCCCUUCGUCGUCCUCCUGCGGAACAGGCUCGGGAACAAUGUCUUCCUGAUCUGAAAUGAUUAAAUAAGGAAUGAGCUACACUAGCCCAGUAAAGACAUCACGAUAUCUCACCAUCACGGAGGUAAAGGUGGGUAGAAAACACAAA
rnacentral:lncRNA from 1 species